GACGUUUCAGCUUGUGUGUCUUGUUCAGUGGUGGUCGUCUUUCAGCCUCUCUUACCUUGGCCAUGUCUCUGAGUAUUGCACACCUUGUGCUUUUGGGCACUCCAGUGAUGUUGCAGCUCUGAAAUAUGGCCAAACUGGUGGCAAGUGGCAUCGUGGCAGCUGCACGCUUGACUUUUCUCAGUUCAUGGGCGGUUAUUUUGC